CAUGCAAGUCGAACGCACUCUCGUAAAUGAUUUUGGUGCUUGCAUUGAAUGAUUUUACAUUUGGAGUGAGUGGCGAAUGGGUGAAUAACACGUGAGGAACCUGCCCUUAAGUCUGGGAUAGCAUUGGGAAACUAAUGAUAAUACCGGAUAACAACUGAAACCACAUGGUUUCAGUUUAAAAGAUGCGUUUGCAUUGCUUUUGGAUGGACUCGCGGCGCAUUAGCUAGUUGGUAAGAUCAAGGCUCACCAAGGCGAUGAUACAUAGCCGACCUGAGAGGGUGAUCGGCCACAUUGGGACUGAGACACGGCCCAAACUCCUACGGGAGGCAGCAGUAGGGAAUCUUCGGCAAUGGACGAAAGUCUGACCGAGCAACGCCGCGUGAGUGAAGAAGGUUUUCGGAUCGUAAAACUCUGUUGGUAGAGAAGAACGUUGGUGAGAGUGGAAAGCUCAUCAAGUGACGGUAACUACCCAGAAAGGGACGGCUAACUACGUGCCAGCCGCCGCCGUAA
rnacentral:rRNA from 1 species